UGUGGCAGGGAGGGACAACUUAUACUGACACAGUAAUUUGAUCUCAGUAGUCGUGUUGAGCUAGUUGAAGAGUCAACUUCAUUGUGUUAUCCUCAAACCUCGUCGUACGCUGUAUAUUAUACCCAGAAAACCUUACUUUGCAGCGAUUUAGGCAAAGGGAUAGGGCAACUGGCGAAAGUUUUACGAAAUAGAAGUCAACAUUGGGGUUUCCAGAACUAUAGCAACCAUGGCGCCUUAUACAGUAAACUUGGUGACUUUCUGCGCUCUUUUGACCCUGGCUUUCGUCUGCAGCGUGAACACCCAGAAUCCAUUCUUUUGCAGAGAUUCCGAUCAGUUUACCUGCGCCAACAUCAAACCUCAUCAUUGCUACGACACCAGGAACAGAGACAUCUGCUGUGGCACCUGCAGGCGCUGGAGACGCCCCGCGCAUAUAGGGUGUGAGUAUGGAGACAGAUCUGUCAUAUGGCGAUCAGAACUCGGAAAAUACACUUGUAGAAGUUAUAUCACAUUCUUUUCGUCUUUCAAUUGUCACGAAAAUCCCGAGUUCCGACGAGACUGCUGUCAGUCAUGCGCAGAAGCCUUAGCCAGUGAGAGGUGAAUUGAAAGUGAUGACAUCAAACAUCCGGGUAAUGGAGUUUUGACCACUGGAAAGUUGCUGAAGACGAUAAUUUUACUAAGAAUACACUAAAUGUACUUUUGCACUUUUCCCACCAAUGUGGUCAUACUAAUUACCGUAUAUUCGCCGGGUUUUCGUCCGUUGCUUUGUUACGUAAAGUCUUGUAUUUCAGACCACGACGUUACUAUUUCUUUUACAUCAAAAGACCUCUGAUUUAAAUAUCGGUUUAUUCUUAAAGAAGCUGGAGGACAAUAUAGCUCAUUCCAUUUUUUCCAUUUGAAAACGACUUCCAUGUCACAUGAUGUAUCUUUCAAAACGUUGCACCCAUAUACUACAACAUAAUUUUGAGAUUUGUAAUAAAACAUUUAUAUAAGCCAUAUAGGUUGUAUAUAUUAUGAAUGACUCACUGGUGACUCAGUAAAAUAUGUUUGUUGAUGUUAGUCUAUGUUAGAAUUCCCUCAUGUCACAAGUCACAUAUGACUUAACAACUCCUCACCUUCUUAUAUCAUAUUUU